ensembl:lncRNA
AAGUAAAACAUUACCACAUUUACAAUAAAAAAAAAAGCCACUGUCACAACUCUCGCUGCUGAAUGCCUUGAUUGACAGGCUGCUUCAGGAUGGAAUGCAGGAGCUUCUUUAUGAGAUCAGCACCAUCAGAAAAGUAAAAGGAGACAUACAGGAGCUAGACUCAAACAGCAUUACUGCAUACACCGUGAGUAGCCUCCUGAACUUAUGAAACAUCUCAGAUAAACAAAUUACUAUAAUAUCAUAAAAAAACUCUGAUUACUAGUCAGGUAGAUUUUGGGUUUAUGAUCCACAUCCACUAUCAGCAAUAAUGUUCUUGCUGUAUUAAGCCUAUUUUGAAUCAUAAGACCUAAUCCACAGAGCUCACCCACAAGAGUCAUUAUCUGAUACGGAUUUGAUUGAGGAAGAGUCUGAUCUUGAAGAGGGGCCUGAAUCAAGUCCUGUAUGCAAACAUUCAUUCCUGUAUCAGUAAUUACAGCAUCAUUUUCCAUAAUCCAUUUCUAACCGAACAUCAACACACUUUAUUCAGUUUUUUUUUCAGAUAUACUUGACUGAUUUGUUCUGAUAUAGUGUUCUAAUCAGCAUUUAAUGCAAGCAAUACAGCUGUCAUUGUUUUUAAUGUGCCUUCAGUGUCUUGUCUUGUCAUUGUAAGAAGCCUGUAGUAGAAAAAGAAGUGGGUAAUACCCUUUUGAACAUCUCUACUAUUCACAAAAAGGCUGACCUGAGUAAAACCAAAGACAAACUGGUAGUUGUCGAAGAAAAGAAACUGGUGGAGACCAGCUUCAGUGAUGUAACACCUUUGAAAUUUCUCCAAACCAACACUUCCUCUGAGAGGUUGGGUUCUGGUAAGGUAAGUAUGGAGACAGUUUUCCACAGCCAUGUGGACACAGGGAAGAAAACAUCUGGAGAGAAGAACAAAGGAAGAGAGAGGGGAAAGGUAAACUGAUCUUGGUCUGUUAUAUAGAUGAGUUUUAUGCUCAGUCCUGUGUUGUACUUACAGUAAAUUAACAGAAUAUCAAACAAUAAAGAGUCAAAUUAGCCAUAAACA